GCCACAAUUAAGACUAGGAUCAUGGAUUUUAUGCCUCUGAAUCUCUACAGCAGGAAGGUAUCCUUUAACGAGUUCCAGUUGCAUGGGUUCAUCUUUACAGACAGAAUGGAUAGAAGAUGGGGUGUUAAUAGUAGGAGAAGUGCACUGGUAGGUUUUAGUGGUGCACGUUCCAAGCUCCAUUCCCGUAGGUGCUGACUGGGCCCCAAAAAAAUCUAUUGCAAGACAUUGGCCACCCGAUGGGCUCCUUCAAUGCGGCCCCCGCAUUUUUUCCGAAAAGUAAGGGCCACACCAAAAUGCUUGCAGGUACCCCAGUCCCGGGGGUUGACAGGGUGGCCGGGCCCCCUCGAAUGACAUUCCCCCUGGAAUGGAAGUGUGGGUCACAUAGCACACAUGCCACUUAACCUGUCUGGCGGUACGUCGGCGAACGGACAGCUUUUGCCUCCCUUCCCCUGAACGCCGCCACCCACGUGGUGCGUCUGCGGGGCCCAGGUGAAAUGAAGAGACAGCCAGUGACCGGGAGGUAGGCGGAGC